rnacentral:rRNA from 1 species
UUGGAGGGCAAGUCUGGUGCCAGCAGCCGCGGUAAUUCCAGCUCCAAUAGCGUAUAUUAAAGUUGUUGCAGUUAAAAAGCUCGUAGUUGAAUUUCGGGAUCAGAUUGUCGGUCGUGCCUCGGUAUGCACUGGUAUUAUUGGUUCCUACCUUCUGAAGAACCGCGAUGUCAUUAAUUUGGUGUCGUGGGGAAUCAGGACUGUUACUUUGAAAAAAUUAGAGUGUUUAAAGCAGGCUUACGCUUGAAUACAUUAGCAUGGAAUAAUGAAAUAGGACGUUUGAUUCUAUUUUGUUGGUUUCUAGGAUUGACGUAAUGAUUAAUAGGGAUAGUUGGGGGCAUUAGUAUCCAAUUGUCAGAGGUGAAAUUCUUGGAUUUAUUGAAGACUAACUACUGCGAAAGCAUUUGCCAAGGAUGUUUUCAUUAAUCAAGAACGAAAGUUAGGGGAUCGAAGACGAUCAGAUACCGUCGUAGUCUUAACCAUAAACUAUGCCGACUAGGGAUCGGAUGAUGUUAAUUUUUUAAUGACUCAUUCGGCGCCUUACGGGAAACCAAAGUGUUUGGGUUC